ensembl:snRNA U6 U6 spliceosomal RNA
AUAGUUUUUCCUUCAGCAUUAUAUACACUAAAAUUGAAACAAUACAGAUGAUUAGCAUGGUUCGUGUACAAGGAUAACAAACUUGUAAUGCUUUUCACAUUUUU